AACGAACGCUGGCGGCAGGCUUAACACAUGCAAGUCGAACGCCCCGCAAGGGGAGUGGCAGACGGGUGAGUAACGCGUGGGAAUCUACCCAUCCCUACGGAACAACUCCGGGAAACGUGUGCUAAUACCGUAUACGCCCUACGGGGGAAAGAUUUAUCGGGGAUGGAUGAGCCCGCGUUGGAUUAGCUAGUUGGUGGGGUAAAGGCUCACCAAGGCGACGAUCCAUCGCUAGUCUGAGAGGAUGAUCAGCCACAUUGGGACUGAGACACGGCCCAAACUCCUACGGGAGGCAGCAGUGGGGAAUAUUGGACAAUGGGCGCAAGCCUGAUCCAGCCAUGCCGCGUGAGUGAUGAAGGCCCUAGGGUUGUAAAGCUCUUUCACCGAUGAAGAUAAUGACGGUAGUCGGAGAAGAAGCCCCGGCUAACUUCGUGCCAGCAGCCGCCGUAACAC
rnacentral:rRNA from 1 species